rnacentral:lncRNA from 1 species
GAUGUGGCAUGUGGCCAGGAGCAUGGCAACCUCGUGGUGAUGGCAGAGGGCACAGAUGUGGCACGUGGCCACCAAGCAUGGCAACCUUGUGGUGAUGGCUCAGGGCACAGAUGUGGCACGUGGCCACGUGGGCACGGCAACAACAUGGCAGUGGCACACAGGGGGGAUGGGGCACGUGGCCACCGAAGACGGGAAACCCAGCACAGAUGUGGCACGUGGCCACCAAGCAUGGCAACAACACGGCAGUGGCACACAGGAUGGAUGUGGCACGUGGCCACCAAGCAUGGCAACCUCGUGGUGAUGGCACAGGGCACAGAUGUGGCACGUGGCCACCGAGCAUGGCAACAACACGGCAGUGGCACACAAGGUGGAUGUGGCACGUGGCCACCGAGCAUGGCAACCUCAUGCUGAUGGCACAGAGCCCAGAUGUGGCUCGUGGCCACGCAGGCAUGGCAAGGACUCGGUGCUGGCACACGGUGUGGCUGUGCCACGUGCCAACCAAGCAGGGCGGCCCCGCACUGAUGGCACUUUUCCCAGCCCCCCCCUAAAGAUUGGGGUGCUGUGUUCCCAUAUAUCGGGGUGCUGUGUCCCCAUAUAUCAGGGUGCUGUGUCCGAUACAUCAGGGUGCUGCAUCCCUAAAGAUUGGGGUGCUGUGUCCCCACAUAUCGGGGUGCUGCGCCCCAAUAUCAGGGUGCUGUGUCCCAUAUAUCGGGGUGCUGUGCCCCUAUAGAUUGGGGUGCUGUGUUCCCAUAUAUCAGGGUGCAGUGUCCCUAUUGGGGUGCUGUGUCUCCGUACAUCAGGGUGCUGUCUCCCCUAUAUCAGGGUGCUGUGUCCCUACAGAUUGGGGUGCUGUGUCCCCAUACAUUGGGGUGCUGCGCCCCAAUAUCGGGGUGCUGUGUCCCCAUACACUGGGGGGCUGUGUCCCUUUCCAAUAUCGGGGUGCUGUGUCCCCAUACACUGGGGUGCUGUGUCCCUUUAGAUUGGGGUGCUGUGGCCCCAUACAUUGGGGUGCUGUGUCCCAUAUAUCGGGGUGCUGUGUCCCAUAUAUCGGGGUGCUGUGUUCCCAUAUAUCAGGGUGCUGCACCCCCAUAUCAGGGUGCUCUGUCCCCAUAUAUCGGGGUACUGUGUCCUAUAGAUUGGGGUGCUGUGUCCCCUCAUAUAUGGGUGCUGCGCCCCACUAUCGGGGUGCUGUGUCCCCAUAUAUCACGGCGCAGUGUCCCUAUAACUGGGGUUCCGUGUCCCCAUAUAUUGGGGUUCUGUCCCCCCCCAAAUCGGGGCGCCCCCCCCCAUUUCCGGGGUUUCCACGCGCUGUGCAUCUCCGUUGCCAUGGCGUCGCCGUUGCCAUGGAGACGCUGCGUUCGAUGCUCGCGGCCCCAUCCUCAGAUCCCCCCAUUUGUGGGGGUCGCAGUGAGACCCCAAACCUGCCAGGACCCAAAUGUGGUGCCCCCAUUUGUGGGGGUCUCAGUGAGAACCCAAACCUGCCAGGACCCAACUGCAG